AAGGCAGAGCACCCUUCCCAGAAGAAAGCCAUUACUUUAUAACAGAGCCUUUCAGCAGAAAAACAAAACAGAGUUCGGGAUUGACUGUCAUGAAAAGCUGGCGCAAAGCAGUCACAUUAGUAGUUGAAAGAGCAGAAAUCACCUCAUCUUCAUUAUUCGAACUAGCAUGUCUGAAUGUAUUGCUCUCAACACCGUAGAAUCGCUCUUCUGCCUUAUGGUGCUGCUGUUCUUUCUGAUACAACUUCACGGUCAAUACUGUUAUCAUAAGUCAAUCGAUAUAUAACAUGCCAUGUAGAGAUGAAAUCAAAAAGCUCAAGAAAGUGCUAUGGUCAAUACUGUUAUCUUAAAGAUUUUCAUUAAGAAUGUCUUGGAGAGACCAAGAAAAA